UCUCUGUUAGUAUAUCGGUUAGUACACGCGCCUGUCAUCCUACGACGAACGCGCGAAAGCGGGGUUCGACUCCCCGACAGAGAG